rnacentral:rRNA from 1 species
UGGGGAAUAUUGCACAAUGGGCGCAAGCCUGAUGCAGCCAUGCCGCGUGUGUGAAGAAGGCCUUCGGGUUGUAAAGCACUUUCAGCGGGGAGGAAGGCGGUGAGGUUAAUAACCUCAUCGAUUGACGUUACCCGCAGAAGAAGCACCGGCUAACUCCGUGCCAGCAGCCGCGGUAAUACGGAGGGUGCAAGCGUUAAUCGGAAUUACUGGGAGUAAAGCGCACGCAGGCGGUCUGUCAAGUCGGAUGUGAAAUCCCCGGGCUCAACCUGGGAACUGCAUUCGAAACUGGCAGGCUAGAGUCUUGUAGGGGGGGGUAGAAUUCCAGGUGUAGCGGUGAAAUGCGUAGAGAUAUAGAGAAAUACCGGUGGCGAAGGCGGCCCCCUGGACAAAGAAUGACGCUCAGGUGCGAAAGCGUGGGGAGCAAACAGG